UAACUCUGCCAAAGCUCUUUAUGAGGGCUGCACAUAGUGACUUCCCUCCGAAGAGUACAAUAUGGAAAGCGGAAAAACAAAGAGUAACUUUACA